AACGAACGCUGGCGGCAGGCUUAACACAUGCAAGUCGAACGCAUCCUUCGGGGUGAGUGGCAGACGGGUGAGUAACGCGUGGGAACGUGCCCUUCAGUACGGGAUAACCCAGGGAAACUUGGGCUAAUACCGGAUACGUGCGAGAGCAGAAAGAUUUAUCGCUGAAGGAUCGGCCCGCGUCCGAUUAGCUAGUUGGUGGGGUAAUGGCCCACCAAGGCGACGAUAAGUAGCUGGUCUGAGAGGAUGAUCAGCCACAUUGGGACUGAGACACGGCCCAAACUCCUACGGGAGGCAGCAGUGGGGAAUAUUGGACAAUGGGCGCAAGCCUGAUCCAGCCAUGCCGCGUGAGUGAUGAAGGCCUUAGGGUUGUAAAGCUCUUUCGUCCGGGACGAUAAUGACGGUACCGGAAGAAGAAGCCCCGGCUAACUUCGUGCCAGCCGCCGCCGCGG
rnacentral:rRNA from 1 species